GAUGAACGCUGGCGGCGUGCCUAAUACAUGCAAGUCGAGCGAACGGACGAGAAGCUUGCUUCUCUGAUGUUAGCGGCGGACGGGUGAGUAACACGUGGAUAACCUACCUAUAAGACUGGGAUAACUUCGGGAAACCGGAGCUAAUACCGGAUAAUAUUUUGAACCGCAUGGUUCAAAAGUGAAAGACGGUCUUGCUGUCACUUAUAGAUGGAUCCGCGCUGCAUUAGCUAGUUGGUAAGGUAACGGCUUACCAAGGCAACGAUGCAUGGCCGACCUGAGAGGGUGAUCGGCCACACUGGAACUGAGACACGGUCCAGGCUCCUACGGGAGGCAGCAGUAGGGAAUCUUCCGCAAUGGGCGAAAGCCUGACGGAGCAACGCCGCGUGAGUGAUGAAGGUCUUCGGAUCGUAAAACUCUGUUAUUAGGGAAGAACAUAUGUGUAAGUAACUGUGCACAUCUUGACGGUACCUAAUCAGAAAGCCACGGCUAACUACGUG
rnacentral:rRNA from 1 species